rnacentral:rRNA from 1 species
GAACCGUUAUAACCGGCGAUUUCCGAAUGGGGAAACCCAGUGUGAUUCGUCACACUAUCAUUAACUGAAUCCAUAGGUUAAUGAGGCGAACCGGGGGAACUGAAACAUCUAAGUACCCCGAGGAAAAGAAAUCAACCGAGAUUCCCCCAGUAGCGGCGAGCGAACGGGGAGGAGCCCAGAGCCUGAAUCAGCAUGUGUGUUAGUGGAAGCGUCUGGAAAGGCGCGCGAUACAGGGUGACAGCCCCGUACACAAAAGCGCAUGUGCUGUGAGCUCGAUGAGUAGGGCGGGACACGUGGUAUCCUGUCUGAAUAUGGGGGGACCAUCCUCCAAGGCUAAAUACUCCUGACUGACCGAUAGUGAACCAGUACCGUGAGGGAAAGGCGAAAAGAACCCCGGCGAGGGGAGUGAAAAAGAACCUGAAACCGUGUACGUACAAGCAGUGGGAGCACAGGUUUACCUGUGUGACUGCGUACCUUUUGUAUAAUGGGUCAGCGACUUAUAUUCUGUAGCAAGGUUAACCGAAUAGGGGAGCCGGAGGGAAACCGAGUCUUAAUUGGGCGUUAAGUUGCAGGGUAUAGACCCGAAACCCGGUGAUCUAGCCAUGGGCAGGUUGAAGGUUGGGUAACACUAACUGGAGGACCGAACCGACUAAUGUUGAAAAAUUAGCGGAUGACCUGUGGCUGGGGGUGAAAGGCCAAUCAAACCGGGAGAUAGCUGGUUCUCCCCGAAAGCUAUUUAGGUAGCGCCUCGUGAAUUCAUCUCCGGGGGUAGAGCACUGUUUCGGCUAGGGGGCCAUCCCGGCUUACCAACCCGAUGCAAACUGCGAAUACCGGAGAAUGUUAUCACGGGAGACACACGGCGGGUGCUAACGUCCGUCGUGAAGAGGGAAACAACCCAGACCGCCAGCUAAGGUCCCAAAGUCAUGGUUAAGUGGGAAACGAUGUGGGAAGGCCCAGACAGCCAGGAUGUUGGCUUAGAAGCAGCCAUCAUUUAAAGAAAGCGUAAUAGCUCACUGGUCGAGUCGGCCUGCGCGGAAGAUGUAACGGGGCUAAACCAUGCACCGAAGCUGCGGCAGCGAACGUAUCACUUAAAGCGAUUCAGCGGGUUACGAUUGACGGAGCGAAGCGACGUCAAAGCGUAUACAAAGUCGAGUCGGUUUAAGGAUACGUU